GGAACGGGACUAAGCGGAGGAUCCAUCAGGUGCAUUUUCCCUCUUUGAGGAGCAGUGAUAUGGACACCAGGUGUGGUGACGCUAAGGUUGGUGCACAUGCACAGACGCGCUCACACACAAACCAAAUCAUCCCAAGUCAACUACUCGAGUCAACCUUGUUCUGGUGUUGAGAGUGCAUGAGAAUACAUACGAGCCACUCACCCAGCUUUGAGGUCACUGCCCCAAGUGCUCAGAUUACCACAGACACCACCGGUCACUUCACCUUCUACUUCUUGUCAAGCUCCUCUCUCAACCACUCUAGGGGGCAUUUCCC
ensembl:lncRNA